AGUUUUGUAGUGUAGUAGCACGCCAGAUUGCAAACCUGGGGGCGCAGAAUAACCCCUGCCAAAACUU
rnacentral:tRNA from 1 species